rnacentral:lncRNA from 1 species
UUAUUUUAUUAUAAUAUGUAACCUAUGGAUUGACUACUAACUCUCAAGUUAGUGAUCAUACUUGAUUUUGAAUUUAUAUAUAUUUUUUAUUCUAAAAUAAAUCAUAUCAUAAUUUAUUUUAUAUUUUAUUGUAAUAAAAUAAAAGCGAAAGAAAUGAAUUAGAGUGGCUUAAAGAUAAGAAAAUAGCGAUACUAACUACCUAUGAUGCUCGAACACUCUACAGUCUUGGUGUACUCGCUAAUAUAGUUGAUUUACAAUAAGUGUCCUCACUAGGAUAUAGAGAUUUUAAUUCUCAGUUAAUUUUCUGUAGUACUCGUUUGUUCCUUUUAUCUUUAGAAGUAUUGUUAUAGAAAAUGCACUUAUUUUCUAUGAAACUAUGUAAUGUAAUUUUAUUGUAACUUAAAAUAAAAUUUUUGUACAUCAUUUCAACCAAUUAAAAAAUUUUAAUAUAAAAAUAUAAAAUAAUAUUUUAUUAGAAAAUACGCUUGCUUAUUUCUUAUGAAACUAUGCAAUCUAAUUUUAUUGUAGCCUAAAAUAAAAAUUUUCUAUUUCAUUUCAGCCAAUUAAAAACUUUUAAUAUAAAAAUAGAAAAUAAUAUGUUAUAAUGUUUUAGAAUAAUACUUUUAAA